UCACUUCUCCAUUGUGUGCGGGCGCGCUUGUCUUGUGUCUAGCUGCUUCUCCUUAGACCAGAGCCUCUUCCCCGGCAGAGGUUUGACUCCUUAGCUAAUCAGUCAGCCAGGCUUUGGGCUGAAGGCUUUCGAGCAACAGCAGCGGCGGGAAAUCUUCGGAGGCGAAAGCAACUUUGUGUUGGAAGAGGUGUACGUGCGUGACUUUAGCAAGAAAUUUUAUGAAUAAGCACCAGAAGCCGAUUCUAACAGGCCAGCGGUUCAAAACAAGGAAAAGGGAUGAAAAGGAGAAAUUUGAACCCACUAUCUUCCGGGAUGCAAUUGUCCAAGGACUUAAUGAAGCUGGUGAUGACUUGGAAGCGGUAGCCAAAUUUCUGGAUACUACAGGGUCAAGGCUAGAUUACCGGCGCUAUGCUGACACUCUAUUUGACAUUUUGAUAGCUGGCAGCAUGCUAGCUCCAGGUGGGACGAGAAUAGAUGAUAAUGAUAAGACCAAGACAACAAACCAGUGUGUAUUUUGUGCAGUUGAAGAUCAUGAUACUCUCCGACACCAUGCUCAGGUCUUCAAUAAGCUGAUCAGAAGAUAUAAAUAUUUGGAAAAAGCAUUUGAAGAUGAAAUUAAAAAGCUCCUAUUAUUUCUUAAAGCAUUUUCUGAAACUGAACAAGCAAAAUUGGCAAUCCUCACUGGAAUCUUACUAGCUAAUGGAACACUACCCGCUACCAUUUUAACAAGCCUUUUCACUGACAGCAUUGUCAAAGAAGGUAUAGCAGCCUCUUUUGCUGUCAAGCUUUUUAAAGCAUGGAUGCUUGAGAAAGAUGCCAACUCUGUUACUUCUUCUUUAAGAAAGGCUAACUUAGACAAGAGACUGCUUGAACUGUUUCCAGCCAACCGGCAGAAUGUGGACCAUUUUGCCAAAUAUUUCACAGAUGCUGGCCUAAAAGAGCUUUCAGAUUUCCUUAGAGUCCAGCAAUCAUUGGGGACCCGAAAAGAACUACAAAGAGAACUCCAGGAACGUCUUUCUCAAGAAUGUCCAAUUAAAGAGAUGGUGCUUUAUGUAAAAGAAGAAAUGAAAAGAAAUGAUCUGCCAGAACCAGCAGUGAUUGGACUCCUGUGGAGUUGUGUAAUGAAUGCUGUUGAAUGGAACAAGAAAGAAGAACUGGUUGCAGAACAAGCACUUAAGCAUCUGAAGCAAUAUGCACCUUUACUGGCAGUGUUCAGUACCCAAGGCCAGUCAGAGUUGAUCCUUCUUCAGAAAGUUCAGGAAUAUUGUUAUGAUAACAUCCACUUUAUGAAAGCCUUUCAGAAGAUCGUGGUGCUCUUUUAUAAAGCUGAUGUCCUAAGUGAAGAAGCCAUUUUAAAAUGGUACAAAGAGGCACAUCUUUCUAAAGGCAAAAGUGUGUUUCUUGAUCAGAUGAAGAAGUUUGUGGAAUGGCUGCAAAAUGCUGAAGAAGAAUCUGAAUCUGAAGGGGAUGAAAAUCAAGAUGGCUAAACAAAGCACAAACCAGACAAAAUUACAGCUGGCUGCUCUUUCAUAAUUUUGUACUAUUCAAGCAAGUAAUCACUAGGUCACCCUUCCCAGCCAAGUAUCCUGCAGAUGGGCAUGACCAAAGAAAAUUCUGCAGAUCAAACAUAUCUUAAGGACACCAGCAAUAGCAGAAACCAGCUGAAGAGUGUUUGGCUCCCUUACAAGGUUCCCCCAACUGAUUUUGUAUUUUGCUAAUCAAAAUUAUCAAAAAUCUGAAAUACGCUAGUUCAAGAUGCUGUCCAAUUAAUUGGGACUAUGCUGUGCAUAAAUGAUGCCUACUGAAAUAGCAAAGCCUGGAGUGGUUACAGAAUGGACAAAUCCCUUUUCACCAUUUCAUUUAUUAUGCAAUUUAUUCAACGAUAUGUAGAGAAACCCCAGAGUGGAAAAAGAAAAGUUCCUGCCCUUUCCCAUGGAAGAAACAAUCCAUGGUCUUUAGACACUAGCCACUUACUAGUAAUGCUAUUGAAAGAGAAUAAAAUAGUCUGAAAGAAACAAUGGAUACACAGAGGAUGGAGUGAAGCCUAUAACAAAACAAGCAGCAGAAGUACCACAGAUGCUGCAAGGCCCUAGUUGUAACAACAAUAUUACACUGGUAUAAUAGAUGUAUGCCAGUUUUAACACUGUUAAACUCAGAUAACAGAUGGUAAGCAAUGGAUCGUCUCUGGUGCACAACAUCCUCUGAUUGAAAACAGCACUUUUGUCUAAAAAAUGUUGAAACACUUGCAGUCUGCAUCUCUAAAAUUCUGUAUAUAACUGCAAAAUGACUUGGAAUGACCAGAAACUUCAGAGCCAUUCUGUAUUUUUUUGUAACUGCAACUUAAUGAAAAAAAACAAACAAUGAAUUUUGUAUAGUUGCUGUCAUUGUAAUUAGAAGCAAAAUUCUAACAGUCUAAGUUUGACUUGGCCUUCUCCAGCAGAUUGUCACCAGAUACUGAAUGUUGGGGGUGACAAUUUUUUAGAGUUUUUCAGCAUCUUAUCAGUAGUGAUGCUGACUAGGAAUUGUAGUUUCAGUGUCUUAAGGGGAUCAGAAAGAAUUCCUACACUUUGAGGCUACUUUUCUUCCAAUGUACUAUUUUUCACAGCCUUCCCUUCAGACUUUCCCGAUAGAUAAAUAAUUGACAAUUCUAGAAGUGCCCAUCAAAUAAAUAACAUUUGUUACUUACACUUUAUCAUAAUCAUAAUUGUGGGCAUACAAAUCUGAAGAUCAUUAAUUUGGAGGGAAUGUGUCCCAGGCAAAACUACUCAAGCCUGUUUCUCUUGCCCAUUUUUAUGAUAAAUAAUGUUCAUUUUUGCUAGCAAUUGUCUCUAUUCUUGUUCCUACAAUGCAUGUAGUGGAAGGAUAACAUCUCCAAUUAAAGCUGGAGAGAUAUCCAGGUUAAUAAUGGAUUUAAAUUAAUAAAUGGAUAAAUGGAUUUUUUUGCAUUUGUUUUCUCUCAGUAGCUUCUAUCCUUCAUUUGAUCUUUAUGGGAUUUACAGUGUUUAAAACUAUUGUGUUAGUUUAUUUUGUCCUCCAUAGGGGACAGAGAAAAAUGUUGCUAUUCAUUGGUGGGGGAAAAAAGUCCUCUAAAUAAUGCAUGAUGAAAAAGGAUCAGACAACUAACCGCAAAUGCUGAAAAAUUCAGGGCAGUGACAAAGAUAACAUCUCCCAGUUAUUUGACCUUUGCUUUGGCGUUGGCUCCACCGACACAUAAAGUUUUGAGAAAGGAAUUACAAAUUGUGCUACUAUGUUUAGGCAAAAUCCUUUCUACUAAGCGAUGAAGCUGUUUCUCCUAUAUUUGAACAGCCUUGCUGAGGGCCACUGAGCAUGGAAUUUGUAAUACUUGAAACCUAGUUUUUGUAGUUUCUGUUGAAUUGGCUAACUAACGUGGGGUUUUGUGUGUUUUAAAUUUGCUUUUUCAAUUGUAUUGUUAAUAAUUUCCUGUAGCCUUAACUUUAAAGAAAAGCUUCUCUUUCUAAAACCAGGAUUGGCAGGAGAACGUUCAAGACAUUGUAUACAAUAGUUUCCUUUUUAGCUCUUCUCAAGCCUUUGUGAGCAAAGAAAAUAGUCAAGCUCAACCUUGGGAAGGGCUCAUAUUGUAGCUUACCCAUACUUAUUUUUAUGUUUUUCCUUUGCAAAUGUUUCUUUUACUUUUACAUAAAAUACAAUUUUUUUUUUCUAUGGCUAUGCUCACAUGAAAUUGGUGAUGUAAUUUAAUUCUGGUGAUGUAAGUGAGCAGAUGAGUAUUUCUAAACCAAUCAACUUUUGCUUCGAAUUUCUUCGUUGUACAACUAUAAAAGUAAAUGUAAUUCAUUUUUCAUGGUUUCCUCUUUUUCAUAGGAAGACACCACUUUAUCAGAGCACUCUACUAAAUUACUCUGAAAUGGUCUUCCAACUCAGUUUCUUAUUGGAAAAGAUUUUGCCCUCCUUCCCUGGAUGGUUGGUCCAGAUAUCAAGAUAUUUAUGCUGUGUGUCUGUGACUGAAAACCGUAUCAAAUUCAUACUAUUGGCUGGAAUCCAUUUCACAAAAGGCUUCCAGUUCUGCUUUACACGUGUACUUUCUGUCAUCUUUCCUUCACAUGGAUCAACAAUGAUAAGAUAGUCCUCAACUUACAAACAUAAAUGGGUUUGAAACCUCUAUUAUUAAGUGGUAUGUUCAUUAAGUAAGUUGCUUUUAUUACCUGUUUGCUACAGUUGUUAAGCAAAUCCAGCUUCCUUCAUUGGCGGUACUUUUCAGAAUCCCCUGGGAAGAUCAUAAAUGGUGAUCAUUUAACCCUGGGGUAGUAGAAGCCCAUGGCUAUUCCAGUUGUCAGGCACCCAAAUUUUGAGCACAUAGAUGCAGGGUCAGUUGUACCUGGAAGUUGUAACUGCAAGAACUGGUCCAAGUUGCUUUUUUUUUCCAUUGUAACAGGUGUCGAACAAGUAGCACUAAAACGAGGACUACUUGAAUAACCCAACACUUUAAUGUACUUGUUUCAUACAGAAAAUAUUCAGUCAGUAGAUGUCUGAAUUAGCUCUUCCUCUAACUCUUUCUGAAUAUCUCAUCAUUCACAUUAAAUUGACAAAGCCUGAUUCUAGGAUGACAGGGAAGAAAAAAAAAACCUUUUCUUCCUAUAAAUGUCUGAUUUUAUAUGCAUGUCUUUUUCCCUUAUCUACUUUCACAUCACAGUCUUUUUGCUAAGAGACACAGAUGUUGAGAUAUAUUCUGUUAUGUAAUCCUUGAUCACUCCAGAUUUUUUUGAUGCCCAGAAUUUGUUGUUUAAACAGAUAGAUAGAAUCACAGAUGUUAUUCCAAUUGAAAUCUUUAUUAUCUUUAAAGGAAAUUCCACUAACUUAGGAAAUGUUAUUUCUAAAAAAGCUCUCUAUUUUUCUGUAUACAUUACCAUGAUGCUUUAAAAAAAAAUAAGCAUGU